rnacentral:rRNA from 1 species
GACGAACGCUGGCGGCGUGCUUAACACAUGCAAGUCGAGCGGUAAGGCCCUUUCGGGGGUACACGAGCGGCGAACGGGUGAGUAACACGUGGGUGACCUGCCUUUAGCUCUGGGAUAAGCCUGGGAAACCGGGUCUAAUACCGGAUAUGACUCCGCGGCGCAUGUUGUGGGGUGGAAAGCCUUGUGCGGCUGGAGAUGGGCCCGCGGCCUAUCAGCUUGUUGGUGGGGUGAUGGCCUACCAAGGCGACGACGGUAGCCGGCCUGAGAGGGCGACCGGCCACACUGGGACUGAGACACGGCCCAGACUCC